rnacentral:rRNA from 1 species
GAUGAACGCUGGCGGCGUGCUUAACACACGCAAGUCGAACGGAAAGGCCCAAGCUUGCUUGGGUACUCGAGUGGCGAACGGGUGAGUAACACGUGGGUGAUCUGCCCUGCACUUCGGGAUAAGCCUGGGAAACUGGGUCUAAUACCGGAUAGGACGAUGGUUUGGAUGCCAUUGUGGAAAGUUUUUUCGGUGUGGGAUGAGCUCGCGGCCUAUCAGCUUGUUGGUGGGGUAAUGGCCUACCAAGGCGUCGACGGGUAGCCGGCCUGAGAGGGUGUACGGCCACAUUGGGACUGAGAUACGGCCCAGACUCCUACGGGAGGCAGCAGUGGGGAAUAUUGCACAAUGGGCGCAAGCCUGAUGCAGCGACGCCGCGUGGGGGAUGACGGCCUUCGGGUUGUAAACUCCUUUCGCUAGGGACGAAGCGUUUUUGUGACGGUACCUGGAGAAGAAGCACCGGCUAACUACGUG